CACAGCUUGACGGGGUGCCGGUAAGACCGGCUGAGAUGUCAUGCGCAGGCAAUGUCCUUGCGUGAAUGACGAUCCCGCCGAACCUGAUCCGGCUAGUACCGGCGUAGGGAUCAAGCGCGAAGCGAUG
rfam:Cobetia sp. TCD-24C scaffold_2, whole genome shotgun sequence.